GGGUGGAAGGCAAGUUGGUAGGGCGUAUGGCUACCAACCUGAAGGUGUGGGUUCAAUUCCCACCCUUCGUACA